UCGCCCCUUUCCAGUUUAGCGCCCCCUAGCGGUUAGCAGGUGAUAUCAAAUCAAAGAUGGCUGCCUAUGGGGUCAUAACCCAUAUGAUAUGAAGACAUUGACAAUCGAUAUAUAUACAGUAAAGUCGUUCGCUAAACACCAUCAAAAAAGAAUUAAACUCAUCUACAAGGAUCUAAAAUGUCGAAGAAACGUAAGCUCGGGGACGGCUCUACUAAAGAUGUUCAGCUGUAUUGUCUGUGCCGACAGAAGAAUGACGAGAAUGAAAUGAUGGUUGAAUGUGACUUCUGCGAUGGUUGGUUUCACCCACGUUGUGUUGACAUGGAUGAAGACGAGGCUGGUUAUUUGUCUUCAUGGAACUGCCCUGGUUGUAUAGAGAUCAUGAAUGAAAAUGUGAUAUGGCUCAUUACUUUACGUCAGGAAUUACACAGCUCUCCUUACAGUGAAAAUUGUCUUUAAUUGAGUGGAGUUAGUCGGAAUAAUACUGCAUGUUUGAAAUGUUGUGGUUAAAAAAAACUGCCUUGUAUAAAAAUUGUAAAAAUGUACUUUUAUAGAUCUGUAAUAUAUGUUUAUAUCAUAUGUAUUUUAACUGUUUGAAUACAAAUGGCAUAUAUAUCAGCAUGACAAAAUGUGUUUUCAGUUUAGUAAAGUUCUAGUUCACAAGUCAUCUUAAUUUAACCCUUUGCAUGCUGGGAAAUUUGCCGUCUGCUAAAAUGUCGUCUGCUGAAUUUCUAAAAUUAGCAUUUUCUUCGAUUUUUUUCAAAGAAUAUUAUCAGAAUAGCAAACAGUUUGGAUCCUGAUAAGACGCCACGUUCUGUGGCGUCUCAUCUGGAUCCAAACUGUUUGCAAAGGCCUUCAAAAUUCGGUUCCCGCACUGAAAGGGUAAAUGUGGUUAAAAAACUGCUGUCUCAUGCUUGCUCAUAAUCUGUAUAAUAUGUUGAUAUGUAUUUUGAAUGUUUCCAUAUGGAAAUUCAUGAAUUAAAAGUGUAAAGUUUA